rnacentral:lncRNA from 1 species
AAAAAAUCAACACGCACAUGAAGUUGAAUGUAUGCAGAUGUGGUUCUCCGGUGCAGAUGAAGAUCUCGUGGACGAACCCGAACCCGGGAAGUAGAUUUUUAACUUGUCCUCGAAGCCAAAAUGUGGGUGGAUGUACCUUUUUUAUGUGGUGUGACCCUCCAACGUGUGAGAGAUCGAAGGAACUGAUUCAUGGUCUAUUACGAGCUAGGAGGGAAAUGGAAGCUAAAAUCAAAACCCUUCAAGUAACAAGACCAAAUGUGUGGAAGAUUUGGCUCUUCGGAUUUGUGUGUGGAGUGUUUGCAAAAUGGGUUUGUUCCUAGGUAUGUAGGGUCAGAUUGUAGGAUGUCAGUAUUUAGUUCCAGAAAUUUGAGUUUAGGGUUUCGGUAUGGAGCCAUGUGCUAGAUGUUAUGAAAAUGCAUAUGUAAAAGGGA